rnacentral:lncRNA from 1 species
AAAGAAGAAUGCAUCAGAUAGAGUUAAGCAAAAUUUCGUGGUUUGGGCGGCCCUGGCCAGUUAAUGGGAUCAAAUGCUUGGUUGACUGAUUGAUUAUUUAUGCAGAAAUCAUCAUUAUGAUAAGAAAAAAGAAGUCGACUCAAAGGUUCCAACCUAAGAAUCAAAUAGAGAUGCAUUUCUGUCGUUUGCAUCUUUGCACCUGACUGUGCUCAUUUCAAGAAUCAACACUGCCUUUGGAAGAUAAAGUAAGUAGUUGAAGAAUAAUGUC